ACCUGGCUGGCUCAGUCAGUAGAGCUCAUGACUCUUGAUCUUGGGGUCAUGAGUUCAAGCAUCAUGCUGGGUG
rnacentral:tRNA from 1 species